GAUGAACGCUGGCGGCGUGCCUAAUACAUGCAAGUCGAGCGAACGGACGAGAAGCUUGCUUUUCUGAUGUUAGCGGCGGACGGGUGAGUAACACGUGGAUAACCUACCUAUAAGACUGGGAUAACUUCGGGAAACCGGAGCUAAUACCGGAUAAUAUUUUGAACCGCAUGGUUCAAAAGUGAAAGACGGUCUUGCUGUCACUUAUAGAUGGAUCCGCGCUGCAUUAGCUAGUUGGUAAGGUAACGGCUUACCAAGGCAACGAUGCAUAGCAGACCUGAGAGGGUGAUCGGCCACACUGGAACUGAGACACGGUCCAGACUCCUACGGGAGGCAGCAGUAGGGAAUCUUCCGCAAUGGGCGAAAGCCUGACGGAGCAACGCCGCGUGAGUGAUGAAGGUCUUCGAAUCGUAAAACUCUGUUAUUAGGGAAGAACAUAUGUGUAAGUAACUGUGCACAUCUUGACGGUACCUAAUCAGAAAGCCACGGCUAAAUACGUG
rnacentral:rRNA from 1 species